AGAGCCAGGCUCGCUGUUUCCCAGUCUUUAUGUUAAGCUAAGCAAACCAUCUCCUGGCUGUAGCGUCAUACUGUACAUGACGGACAAAC